rnacentral:rRNA from 1 species
CAGUAGCCGCGGGAAUACGUAGGUGGCAAGCGUUAUCCGGAAUUAUUGGGCGUAAAGCGCGCGCAGGCGGUUUCUUAAGUCUGAUGUGAAAGCCCACGGCUCAACCGUGGAGGGUCAUUGGAAACUGGGGAACUUGAGUGCAGAAGAGAAAAGCGGAAUUCCACGUGUAGCGGUGAAAUGCGUAGAGAUGUGGAGGAACACCAGUGGCGAAGGCGGCUUUUUGGUCUGUAACUGACGCUGAGGCGCGAAAGCGUGGGGAGCAAACAGGAUUAGAUACCCCUGUAGUCCCUGUCUCUUAUAC